AGAAUCAACGCUGGCGGCGUGCCUAACACAUGCAAGUCGAACGCGGUUACCCCGCAAGGGGCAACUGAGUGGCGAACGGGUGAGUAACACGUGGGUGACCUACCUUCGAAUGGGGGAUAACGUCCCGAAAGGGACGCUAAUACCGCAUAACAUCCUGCCUUUGAACAGGCGGUGAUCAAAGCCGGGGAUCGCAAGACCUGGCGUUUGAAGAGGGGCCCGCGUCCGAUUAGCUAGUUGGUGAGGUAACGGCCCACCAAGGCAACGAUC
rnacentral:rRNA from 1 species